CCAGCUCCUGUCCCUGCUCUUGUCCCUGUUCCUGCCCCAGCUUCUGCCCCAACUCCUGCCUCUGCUCCUCUCCCUGCCCCAGCUCCUGCCCCAGCCCGUCUGCCUCCUUCCCCAGCCCCUGUCCCUAUCUGACAGGACCCUGCUUGCUCCCUGCUGUCACUCAGCCCUUUCCCCUGUUUUCUGCCCCGUCCUCUGCCCCUGCCAGCCCCUCCCCCGUCUGCUCACCUGUCACUGCCCACGUCCCCUCGCCUGGCUCCCUAACUCCUCCUGACCCACUCCCGCCUGGCCAUGACCCUGUGUCCAUGUGACCCUUCCCAUCACGAGUUUACACCGGAAAAACCUGUCGGGCAGGGCUCAGAGGUCCCCGGUGCAGCUGCUUUAGCCCCAUGCUGCUUUCCAAGAAGCUUAAAACUGACCAGUUUUUCAGACCCAUUUUCAUAUUGAAGAGCUGUUAAGGAAACAACUGAGAGGAAUAUGCUACUGAAGGAGAGAGGAAGAAUAAAUUCAGCAACAUAAGAGAUGAAGAAGAUGGUGAAAUUGUGCCUGACAUUAUGAUUGAGCUCCAAAGAGGGCCUAACUCAGAACUGAGUAGAUAAUUUCCUUCCAUAGACUUCUCCUACAAGCAAAUAAAACCUGUCCCCACUGCAGAGAGAGCUAAGGACUGGUGGAAGAUGGGUGCAUGGUGAAACAGAAGGAGCAUUUCCACAAGCAUCAUGCGCGCUGCCGUCAGAGUGUCAGCCGUGGCUGCGGAUUCCCUGCCUUCGUUAUCUGUGAGAGGUUGUCCAGAGUUUGAAGCAUACAAGGUCUCAUCAUAAUGUUUAUAUGAGUACUUCUGCCCUUGGAUAUUAUUCUCAUCUUUACAAUACUAUGCAAAUCGACAGCUACUUCCCGGUGCUUCCAGCUAGGACUUCUGAAUAUAGUUGCGAUACUGUAGAAAAGGAAACAAAUAAACAAACAAACAAAAAAUAUCCCCUUGGUGCAAAGACUGGUCAAAGGCAAUACCUGGUCCUACAAGUCCACCACCAAAGAUGGUGUGAUUCCUGAUGCAACCUGGAAAAUUGACUACACUGCCUGUGUAGCUGUCCACAGUGAAAGGUUCUCAGCAUUGACUUCUACUCUGCAUCAAUAUUUACUGCUCCUUAGAGCAGAGUGGCUCAGAAUUAGCGACCAGAUUUUUAAUUAACAGCUGAUCUCAGUAUUGUGGGUGGUUCAAGCACCAGUCUGUUUCAGUUUUCUGGACAGAGCUGCCUGAGUUGUGCUGAACAUGCAGAUUUGUCCCGGUGUCCCCAGCCCACUGCUUGCUUUGAGAUGGCACACCUGGGCUCUUCCACUGGUUUAGGGUGUGCUCACAGCUGGGCAGUGAUUACCUCUCCUCUGAAAAUGGCUUAAAUCCCUUAGUGAUGGGGAGCUUUGCAGGGCCUUUAAAAUACGCAUUUACACAGCCAUAUUCAUUUCUCAGUAGCCUAAAAAAGAUUUUUCCAAAGUUAAACAUAAACAUUCAGCUUGCAGGUGAAACCCAUGGGACAUGCUCAGUUGCCUGGAAAAUCACUUUAAAAAUUAGCAUGUCUGCUCUGUAAUAUAUUAUGUGCGGUUUCUUUCUUGCCUUAGAAGGAAUGAAAGCAGUGACUAUAGGGCCCAGAUUUUAUUGUGCUGCACAAAAUUGCUUUCCAAAAGGGCCUGACUGGUAAAAAUAUAGGUUUCACCUUUGCAACACCUCUUUUUCUCAAGAGAAUUCUCCAAAAGAACCAGAUUUUCCUGCUGAGUCAGCCCAAGUGCCUGUGUUAAUGGCCUCUGGAGAGAAACACCUCAACACAUCCACAGAAUGAAAGUUCCAGCUGCAAAAGUCAGAAUUUCCACAUACAAUUUUCUUAUAUACUAACCAGUCUUCAUGUCAUGUUCAGAGUCCCAUGACACCUCAAGCCCUUAUAUUUUAUCUGUCACACUGUAGUUAUAAACCAGUGAGAAAUAUCCAAUGUCUUAUACAUUUUGGCUAAGGCAAAAAAAAUGCAAAUAUACUAAUUCAAAAUAUUUUGACAGUAUUUCAAAAUUAAGAAGAAACACCACAAAUUAACAGACCUGAACCGUGCUCUCUCCCAAAUUAAUAUUAAGGUCAUAGACAAGUCAUGUUCUUUGAUUGAGAAAGGGAAGAGGUUCCAUAAAAAUAUUACAGCAUGAUAAUUUUGAGAUGAUACAGAAAUAAUAGUGUUUAUUACCAAUGUUAUUUACAUACCUUACUGGCUCUAGGUUUAACUAAGCCUUCAUGCACAAUGCACUGAGAAAUGCAUUGUCCUUCACUGACACAAAAAGCUUGCAGUCUAACCAGACUGGAAAGAGACAAAAAGGCUUAUUCAUAUUAUGGCCAUUAUUCCACAUAGAGUGAACUGAGAAAAGUCAUGGAAUAGCUCCAGAACUGUGCAAAAAUUUUAUGGAUUGAGCACCAUCAUAUGAAGUCCCCGUUCAGCAUUUCAGCUUCUAUUUCAAUAAAAUAAAACUUCCCCACAAAUUGGGUUCUUGGCCCUCACCAUUAUGCUGCCAGCACAUACCAUUUCACAGGUAAAUGCCCUGGGUUCAGCAGGUCAGUGGCUGCAGUGGCAUUGGUGAGGAUAUCAUCUUUGCCAUAUGGACAAGGCCAGUCCCCUGCUGGACUGCCCUGAGGACUGUUCCUGGGCUCAUCUCAUACCAUCUCUGUGCUCCCCAACCAACUCUCUUCCCUCAGGGACUCUACACAAAUCUGUGCUCUUCCUCCUGAAGGGAUUAACUCCUGUUCCUAACUGACCAGAGAUAUUGGUCUGACGUCCCUGUGUCUUCAUCCUACAGCUAUGGUUACAGGAGCCCACGCACACAGGCCUGGGGGAAGGACUGAGAAGAGGUGCACAGAUAUCUUUGGGCUGAUCUGUGCUUCACACAGAGCACUGUUGUGUUUGACAUAUGUCUUAGGUGUGUAUGGAGUUAUAUCAGUGGAAACCUAUGGUUCAUUACCAAUCUGCUUUGGUCCUGGAGGAGGGAAAGUGGAAACAGGAGGGGGGAAAAAUACCCAGAUGGGAAAUGAACCUGUGCAUCUCUCCUGGGAAAAUGCAUUUCAGUCAUUCAAGCAACAGCCUAGCCUAUGGAAAAAAAUAUUGUACUUUCCAGCUGUUAUGCAAAAAGAAAAAAUAAAUUUGAAAUGGAAAAGUGAAUAAAUUGAGAAUAUUUUUAUCAUACUCUUUCUUGCAAAUUACUUACAACAUUCUUGUUUCUUAUGAGGAACCAUUUUUAGUAUGAAAGUAGUAAUACACUUUUCCAAAAAGUGCUUCCUGAAAAACCGAAACCAUUAUUAUCUUAAACUCCCACACAGUUUGUUUAAAAAUAUCUUUAAAUACUAUUAAAGAACAAUAAUUAUGUAGGUUUAUAUAAGUAGGAAGCAGAAACCAUCAAUGAAUCAUAUUAUUUCUCCUGCUGUAACAACACCACCAUCAACUACCACAAUAACAUAAAAGUUUAUGCCCACUGUAUACGUGUUUUGCAGGCAGUUUCCUGCCUUGAAAUCUGCAUAAUAGGUAAGCUGUGGUAAGUGUAAUAUGCUGUUUACUGCCAAUCCACUGUGGACAGCCAGGCAUGCUUGGCCUGGUGCAUUGCUCCUCCUUUGAGUGCAGCUUCUUGCUGAAGCGUAUGGCAGCCCUGAAGCAACAAAUAAAGCUUCUACAGAUUCUGGAAUCUGCUUCUGAAAGACGCUGUUGGAUAUACAGAGCUAUAUAUUCAAAUUAUUUUAUUCUCAUACACUGUAUUUUUUUUUCUUUUGGGUAAAAGCAGUGA